rnacentral:misc_RNA from 1 species
GAAAUGCGAUAAGUAAUGUGAAUUGCAGAAUUCAGUGAAUCAUCGAAUCUUUGAACGCACAUUGCGCCCCUUGGUAUUCCGGGGGGCAUGCCUGUUCGAGCGUCAUUAUCACCCCUCAAGCUCAGCUUGGUGUUGGGGCCUGCCCGUCACAGGGCAGCCCUUAAAAGCAGUGGCGGUGCCAUCUGGCUCUAAGCGUAGUAAUACUCCUCGCUAUAGACGUCUGGUGGUGUCCUGCCAAAACCCCCCAUAUUUUUAAUGAUUGACCUCGGAUCAGGUAGGGAUACCCGCUGAACUUAA